AUGUAGUUGGCAGAAG
rnacentral:sRNA from 1 species